UAUUGCUUUGCUCAUGUCGGUCUGUCGGUAUGUCGGUCGGUCGGUCCGUCCACCAGGUGGUUGUCAGACGAUAACUCAAGAACGCUUGGGCCUAGGAUCAUGAAACUUCAUAGGUACAUUGAUCAUGACUCGCAGAUGACCCCUAUUGAUUUUGAGGUCACUAGGUCAAAGGUCAAGGUCACGGUGACCCGAAAUAGUAAAAUGGUUUUUGAAUGAUAACUCAAGAACGCAUACGCCUAGGAUCAUGAAACUUCAUGGGUAGAUUGAUCAUGACUUGCAGAUGACCCCUAUUGAUUUUGAGGUCACUAGGUCAAAGGUCAAGGUCACGGUGACCCGAAAUAGUAAAAUGGUUUCCGGAUGAUAACUCAAGAACGCAUACGCUUAGGAUCAUGAAACUUCAUGGGUAGAUUGAUCAUGACUCGCAGAUGACCCCUAUUGAUUUUGAGGUCACUAGGUCAAAGGUCAAGGUCACGGUGACCCGAAAUAGUAAAAUGGUUUCCGGAUGAUAACUCAAGAACGCAUACGCCUAGGAUCAUGAAACUUCAUGGGUAGAUUGAUCAUGACUCGCAGAUGACCCCUAUCAAUUUUGAGGUCACUAGGUCAAAGGUCAAGGUCACGGUGACCCGAAAUAGUAAAAUGGUUUCCGGAUGAUAACUCAAGAACGCUUACGCCUACUAGGAUCAUGAAACUUCAUGGGUAGAUUGAUCAUGACUUGCAGAUGACCCCUAUUGAUUUUGAGGUCACAAGGUCAAAGGUCAAGGUCACAGUGACCCGAAAAAGUAAAAUGAUUUUCAGAUGAUAACUCAAGAACGCUUUUGCCUAGGAUCAUGACACUUCAUAGGUACAUUGAUCGUGACUCGCAGAUGACCCCUAUUGAUUUUCAGGUCACUAGGUCAAAGGUCAAGGUCACAGUGACAAAAAUCGUACUCGCACAAUGGCUGCCACUACAAUGGACAGCCCAUAUGGGGGGCAUGC